GACAGAGGGUGCAAACGUUGUUCGGAAUUACUGGGCGUAAAGCGCGUGUAGGCGGCCCUGCAAGUCGGGGGUGAAAGCCCGAGGCUCAACCUCGGAACUGCCUUCGAUACUGCGGGUCUCGAGUCCGGGAGAGGUGAGUGGAAUUCCUAGUGUAGAGGUGAAAUUCGUAGAUAUUCGCAAGAACACCAGUGGCGAAGGCGGCUCACUGGCCCGGUACUGACGCUGAGGUGCGAAAGCGUGGGGAGCAAACAGGG
rnacentral:rRNA from 1 species